UCCAAAGAUGCUAUAAUUUGCGUGUGAUCUCUGCGACCGGAGGAUCACGCCUGGUCUUCAGAACGGCGUAGGGGAUUUGAUCUUCAAUUCUUACAUAUUCUGAGA
rnacentral:snoRNA from 1 species